GACGGAGGGUGCUAGCGUUGUUCGGAUUUACUGGGCGUAAAGGGCGCGUAGGCGGCCUGAUCAGUCGGGUGUGAAAGCCCGGGGCUCAACCCCGGAACGGCACCCGAGAGGGUCAGGCUGGAGACCGGGAGAGGAGGGUGGAAUAGCCAGUGUAGAGGUGAAAUUCGUAGAUAUUGGCUGGAACACCGGUGGCGAAAGCGGCUCUCUGGCCCGGUUCUGACGCUGAGGCGCGAAAGCGUGGGGAGCAAACAGG
rnacentral:rRNA from 1 species